UACGUAGGGCGCAAGCGUUAUCCGGAAUUAUUGGGCGUAAAGAGCUCGUAGGCGGUUUGUCGCGUCUGCCGUGAAAGUCCGGGGCUCAACUCCGGAUCUGCGGUGGGUACGGGCAGACUAGAGUUCGGUAGGGGAGACUGGAAUUCCUGGUGUAGCGGUGAAAUGCGCAGAUAUCAGGAGGAACACCGGUGGCGAAGGCGGGUCUCUGGGCCGUAACUGACGCUGAGGAGCGAAAGCGUGGGGAGCGAACAGG
rnacentral:rRNA from 1 species